CAGUAACGGCGAGUGAAGCGGCAACAGCUCAAAUUUGAAAUCUGGCUCCUUCGGGGUCCGAAUUGUAAUUUGUAGAGAGUGCUUCGGGCGAGACCUCGGUCUAAGUCCACUGGAACAUGGUGUCAUAGAGGGUGAGAAUCCCGUAUGCGACCGUGGCUCGAGCCCAUGUGAAGCCUCUUCGACGAGUCGAGUUGUUUGGGAAUGCAGCUCAAAAUGGGUGGUAAAUUUCAUCUAAAGCUAAAUACUGGCUGGAGACCGAUAGCGCACAAGUAGAGUGAUCGAAAGAUGAAAAGCACUUUGGAAAGAGAGUCAAACAGUACGUGAAAUUGUUGAAAGGGAAGCGCUUGCAACCAGACCUGCCCGUAGGCGAUCAGCCGCUGUUCUCAGCGGUGUACUCGCUCUGCGAUCAGGCCAGCAUCGGUUUCGGCGGUCGGAUAAAGACCUUGGGAAUGUAGCUUCCCUUCGGGGAAGUCUUAUAGCCCUCGGUGUAAUGCGGCCAGCCGGGACCGAGGACCGCGCUUCGGCUAGGAUGCUGGCGUAAUGGUUGUAAGCGACCCGUCUUGAAACACGGACCAAGGAGUCUAACAUCUAUGCGAGUGUUUGGGUGUCAAACCCAUACGCGGAAUGAAAGUGAACGGAGGUGAGAACCCUUAAGGGCGCAUCAUCGACCGAUCCAGAUGUCUUCGGAUGGAUUUGAGUAUGAGCAUAGCUGUUGGGACCCGAAAGAUGGUGAACUAUGCCUGAAUAGGGUGAAGCCAGAGGAAACUCUGGUGGAGGCUCGCAGCGGUUCUGACGUGCAAAUCGAUCGUCAAAUUUGGGUAUAGGGGCGAAAGACUAAUC
rnacentral:rRNA from 1 species